rnacentral:lncRNA from 1 species
GUUUCAUCCCCUCGCCUCUGCGUGUUCACCCCUCGCCUCUGCGUGUUAACCCUCCCUCUGCGUGUUAACCCCUCGCCUCUGCGUGUUAACCCCUCGUCUCUGCGUGUUAACCCCUCGUCUCUGCGUGUUAAACCCUCUCUCUGCGUGUUAACCCCUCGUUCUGCGUGUUAACCCCUCGUCUCUGCGUGUUAACCCCUCGUCUCUGCGUGUUAAACCUCUCGUCUCUGCGUGUUAACCCCUCGUCUCUGCGUGUUAACCCCUCGCCUCUGCGUGUUAACCCCUCGCCUCUUGCGUGUUAACCCCUCGUCUCUGCGUGUUAACUCUCGCCUCUGCGUGUUAACCCCUCGCCUCUGCGUGUUAACCCUCGUCUCUGCGUGUUAACCCCUCGUCUUGCGGUUAACUCUCUCUCUGCGUGUUAACCCCUCGUCUCUGCGUGUUAACCUCUCGUCUCUGCGUGUUAACCUCUCGUCUCUGCGUGUUAACCCUCGUCUCUGCGUGUUAACCCUCGUCUCUGCGUGUUAACCUUCUGUCUCUGCGUGUUAACCUCUCGUCUCUGCGUGUUAACCUCUCUGUGUGUUAACCUCUCGUCUCUGUGUGUUACCAGGUCGUCAUGAUGCUGCUAAAGAGUGAACAUGAUCAGAUGACGCGACUGUUUGACCGUCUGUCUGCUGUAGACAGUGAUGCCUUCAGUAAGAACGAUGUGCAGAACCUGGCCAACAAGUACAAAAUGACCUCUAACCUCUGACCCUGUCUGGCCUGCUGGAGCGCAUCCCAAUAGGUCCCUAUUACCGAGUGCACUAUGGGGGAAUAAGGCACCAUUUGGAAACAGCCGACUUUAAACACGAGUCCAGACUGCAAAUCACUUUGCGUCCGAAAUAACUACUCAAUAUUAUUUUUGUAGUCAAGUCACAAUUUACCCACGAUACAGCACGGUUUGAUGUUCUCCAAUGCGACCCUUCACUCUGUCCUGCGUGAAGCUCCCAACAUGCCGUACUGGAUCAUGCAACGCUGCACAAACCGACUCAGAAACUGCUGCUCAAGCAUACGGACCCAACACUCGAGCAUCAAUGACGCAGACUACCGACCCGAACCGUACUAGCGACAUCGACGACAGACGCACGAAGACCGAACGAGCAGCAGCAUUAGACAAACGCAGAUCGACGGCCAGACAACCGACCUCAAACCGACUCAGAAGAACGUCGUCAGAGCAUUACGGACCCAAACCGACUCAGAAGAACGUGCUAGAGCAUUACGGACCCAAACCGACUCAGAAGAACGUGCUCAGAGCAUUACGGACCACAAACCGACUCAGAAGAACGUGCUCAAGGCAUUACGGACCCAAACCGACUCAGAAGAAUUGCUCAGGCAUUACGGACCCAAACCGACUCAGAAGAACGUGCUCAGAGCAUUACGGACCCAAACCGACUCAGAAAACGUGCUCAGAGCAUUACGGACCCAAACCGACUCAGAAGAACGUGCUCAGAGCAUUACGGACCCAAACCGACUCAGAAGAACGUGCUCAGAGCAUUACGGACCCAAACCGACUCAGAAGUGCUGAACGUGCUCAGAGCAUUAUGGACCCAAAACGACUCAGAAGAACGUGCUCAGAGCAUUACGGACCCAAACCGACUCAGAAGGACGUGCUCAGAGCAUUACGGACCCAACCGACUCAGAAGAUGCUGACGUGCUCAGAACAUUACGGACCCAAACCGACUCAGAAGAUGCUGAACGUGCUCAGAGCAUUACGGACCCAAACCGACUCAGAAGAUGCUGAACGUGCUCAGAGCAUUACGGACCCAAACCGACUCAGAAGAUGCUGAACGUGCUCAGAGCAUUACGGACCCAAACCGCUCAGAAGAUGCUGAACGUGCUCAGAGCAUUACGGACCCAAACCGACUCAGAAGAUGCUGAACGUGCUCAGAGCUACGGACCCAAACCGACCCGUUUAUUUCUCUCUAUGUAAUAUAUCACAUCUCUACCGACCGCUACUAGGUAUUUCUCUCUCUCCAAAGACCUUUUUCACCCUGAUCUGUUUUUAGCGUUAGUUGACCGACAGUAAAUGUUGAAAUGUUGUGAACUAUUUAGCUUUUAAAAAACAUUAUGCAUAGGUCCAUGUUCCAGAUAUCUGUCAGCAUUUCCUGCGGGUCCGUGUUCUGCGGGCCAGGUCCAUUCUCCAGCCUGCAGAAACCUUUUCAAAUCAGAUAACAACCAUAACAAUGAAUGACUACUUUCCCAGGCUGCUUUGACUGGCCAAUAGGAGGUUGAUUUGUUUCCCGGGUUUGAAAUUUUAAAAAAAUGUGGAAGGGACAAUGAAUUCCAAGCUGGAAGACAUAACGACUUGAAUUGACCGGGCUAGCGUUAGCCCCAGAGGCUUUGUUGUUGUACGCUUUAUCAUGCUGAUAUUAAACUAGAUUAAUGCAUGAUUCAUAAUCACAAUAUUAGCCAAGCGUAUAAACGAUCCAAACAGCACUAUUUCCUCUGGGGUUCAAGGAGUAUAUUUCCUUGGGUUCAAGGAGUAUAUUUCCUCUGGGGUUCAAGGAGUUAUUUUCUGGGGUUCAAGCAGUAUAUUUCCUCUGGGGUUCAAGCAGUAUAUUUCCUCUGGGGUUCAAGGAGUAUUUUCCUCUGGGGUUCAAGGGUAUAUUUCCUCUGGGUUCAAGGAGUAUAUUCCUCUGGGGUUCAAGGAGUAUAUUUUCCUCUGGGGUUCAAGGAGUAUAUUUCCUCUGGGGUUCAAGGGUAUAUUUCCUCUGGGGUUCAAGGAGUAUAUUUCCUCUGGGGUUCAAGGAGAUAUUUCCCUGGGGUUCAAGCAGUAUUUUUCCUCUGGGGUUCAAGGAGUAUUUGACCAUCCAUUCUCUGUCUAGAAACAAAUCGUAGUUUUGGGCCAGUCGUCUAGUUCUGUGUUAACCCCCAUUGUCUGAAAACAAUGAUGAAGCAACUACAAUGUGCUCAAUACUAACGGGGAUUAUACAGGACUGCCAGUCAAGGUAAUGCAAUACUACGGGGAAUUAUACAGGAAGUCAAGGUAAAUGCAAUACUAACGGGGAAUUAUACAGGAAUCAAGGUAAAUGCAAUACUAACGGGGAAUUAUACAGGAAGUCAAGGUAAAUGCAAUACUACGGGGAAUUAUACAGGAAGUCAAGGUAAAUGCAAUACUAACGGGGAAUUAUACAGGAAGUCAAGGUAAAUGCAAUACUAACGGGGAAUUUACAGGAAGUCAGGUAAAUGCAUAUACGGGGAAUUAUCAGGAAGUCAAGGUAAAUGCAAUACUAACGGGGAAUUAUACAGGAAGUCCAGGUAAAUGCAAAGUAAGUGUGUAAAAACAUUUAUCUUUGAAGAAAUGACCGAAGUUUGAAAAUGCCCCAGCAUCAGCCAGCCAGCCAGCCAGUCAGCCAGUCAGUCAGCUAGCUAGCGGAGCACCCUUCCAUCUGCAGUAGUCAGCACCUAUGCAAAAUGCCCCGCAUCAGUCAGCCAGCCGCCAGUCAGCCAGCCAGUCAGCCAGCUAGCUAGCGGAGCACCUUCCAUCUGAGUAGUCAGCAGUCUAAUGCAAAUGCCCCAGCCAGCCAGUCAGUCAGUCAGCCAGCCAGCCGUCAGUCAGUCAGCCAGCAGAGCACCCUUCCAUCCAGCAGCAGUCUAAUGGAUCUACACUGUUCUGUCGUGAACCCAUUUCAGAGUUCUGUUUGAACCCAUUCAGAUGUUCUGUUCUGAACCCAUUUCAGAUGUUCUGUCGUGUGAACCCAUUUCAGUGUCUGUUGUGAACCCAUUCAGAUUUCUUGUUGUGAACCCAUUUCAGAUGUUCUGUUGUGAACCCAUUUCAGAUGUUCUGUUGUGAACCCAUUUCAGAUGUUCUGUUGUGAACCCAUUUCAGAUGUUCUGUUCGUUGCAGAAGACAAUAGUACAUUUAAUGACUUGUCAAAAUGUUAGUGUGUUCUUUCUUUCUGUGUCAACCUCAGUGAUCUGAAUGUACCAGUCGCUUGGUUUAAGCAUUCUAUAGCAAUAUAGCUGCACGGUCAGCGGGUAGCGGCUCAGGGAGGGAGUCGCUUGGUUUAAGGGAGUCGCUUGGUUUAAGGGAGAGUCGCUUGGUUUAGCAUUCUAUAGUAAUAUAGCUGCAUGGUCAGCGGGCUAGCGGCUCAGUGAGGGAGUCGCUUGGUUUAAGCAUUCUAUAGUAAUAUAGCUGCAGCGGUCAGCGGGCUAGCGGCUCAGUGAGGGAGUCGCUUGUUUAAGGGAGUCGCUUGGUUUGAGUCGCUUGGUUUAACCAUUCUAUAGCAAUAUAGCUGCACGGUCAGCGGGCUAGCGGCUCAGUGAGGGAGUCGCUUGGUUUAACCAUUCUAUAGCAAAAUAAAAAAUAUGUAAAAAUGUGUUUUAAGUCAAAAAUGUAAAUGGUUCUUUAACAAUAAAACUGGGAUAAAUAGUUUAUACAUGCUUAUUUCUCUGAUACUAUACAAAUCACAAUGAUUGUGAAUAUAUUAAUGUUAUGAAAAACUGAAUAAAAGUGAAGACCAAUUGUCCUCUUGAUUCUUAUUGUUACUAAAAACUGAUAUCUGCCUCAGAAUGCUGUUCGUUGACUACAGCUCAGCGUUCAACACCAUCGUGCCCACGAAGCUCAUCACAAAGCUAAGGAUCCUGGGACUAAACACCUCCCUCUGCAACUGGAUCCUGGACUUCCUGACGGGCCGCCCCCAGGUGGUGAGGGUAGGUAACAACACGUCUGCCACGCUGAUCCUCAACACUGGGGCUCCUCAGGGGUGUGUGCUAGUCCCCUCCUGUACUCACUGUUCACCCACGACUGCAAAACCGUCAUUAAGUUUGCUGACGACACAACAGUGGUAGGCCUGAUUCUCGACAACGAUGAGACAGCCUAUAGGGAGGAGGUCAGAGACCUGGUGGUAGGCCUGAUCCCCGACAACGAUGAGACAGCCUAUAGGGAGGAGGUCAGAGACCUGGUGGUAGGCCUGAUCCCCGACAACGAUGAGACAGGCCUGAUCCCCGACAACAAUGAGACAGCCUAUAGGGAGGAGGUCAGAGACCUGGCCCGGUGGUGCCAGGACAACAACCUCUCCCUCAACAAUGAGACAGCCUAUAGGGAGGAGGUCAGAGACCUGGCAGUGUGGUGCCAGGACAACAACCUCUCCCUCAAUGUGAUCAAGACAAAGGAGCUGAUCGUGGACUACAGGAAAAAGAGGGCCGAACAGGCCCCCAUUCACAUCGACGGGGAUGUAGUGGAGCGGGUCAAGAGUUAAGUUCCUUGGUGUCCACAUCACCAACGGACUAUCAUGGUCCAAACACACCAAGACAGUUGUGAAGAGGGCACAACAAAAACUAUUCCCCAUCAGGAGACUAAAAAGACUUGGCAUGGGUCCUCAGAUCCUCAAAAAGGUUCUACAGCUGCACCACCGAGAGCAUCCUGACCGGUUGCAUCACCGCUUAGUAUGGCAACUGCUCUGCAUCUGACCGCCAGGCGCUACAGAGGGUAGUGCGUACGGCCCAGUACAUCACUGGGGCCAAGCUUCCUGCCAUCCAGGACCUAUAUACCAGGCGGUGUCAGAGACAAACCGAUAAAAUUGUCAAGAGACUCCAAUCACCCAAGUCAUAGACCAUUCUCUCUGCUACCACAUGGUAAGCGGUACCGGAGCGCCAAGUCUAGCACCGUCAUAGGAUGCCACCUUUCCAACAAGACAGUUUGUAAAAUUCCUACCCUGCUAGAGCUUCCCCGGUCAACUUUGAGUGCUGUUAUUGUGAAGUGGAAACAUCUAGAAGCAACAACAUAGGCCACACAAGCUCACAGAACUGGACCGCUGAGUGCUGAAGCGCGUCUGUCCUCGGUUGCAACACUCACUCCCGAGUUCCAAACUGCCUCUGGAAGCAACGUCAGCACAAGAACUGUUGGUCGGGAGUUUCAUGAAAUGGGUUUCCAUGGCCGAGCAGCCGCACACAAGCCUAAGAUCACCAUGCAUAAUGCCAAGCCUCGGCUGGAGUGGUGUAAAGCUCACCGUCAUUGGACUCUGGAGUGAUGAAUCACGCUUCACCAUCUGGCAGUCCGACGGACGAAUCUGGGUUUGGCAGAUGCCAGGAAAACACUACUUGCCCCAAUGCAUAGUGCCAACUGUAAAGUUUGGUGGAGGAGGAAUAAUUGUCUGGGGCUGUUUUUCAUGGUUCGGGCCCUUUAGUUCCAGUGAAGGGAAAUCUUAAUGUUACAGCAUACAAUGACAUUCUAGACGAUUCUGUGCUUCCAACUUUGUGGCAACAGUUUGGGGAAGGCCCUUUCCUGUUUCAGCAUGACAAUGCCCCCAUGAACAAAGCCAGGUCCAUACAGAAAUGUUUUGUCGUGAUCGGUGUUGAAGAACUUGACUGGCCUGCACAGAGCCCUGACCUCAAAUCCAUCGAACACCUUUGGAAUGAAUUGGAAAGUCGACUGCGAGCCAGGCCUAAUCACCCAAUAUCAGUGUCCCCACAGCAAUGUUCCAACAUCUAGUGGAAAGCCUUCCCAGAAGAGUGGAGGCUGUUAUAGCAGCAAUGUUCCAACAUCUAGUGGAAAGCCUUCCCAGAAGAGUGGAGGCUGUUAUAGCAGCAAUGUUCCAACAUCUAGUGGAAAGCCUUGCCCAGAGAGUGGAGCCUGUU